UACGUAGGGGGCAAGCGUUGUCCGGAAUCAUUGGGCGUAAAGCGCGUGUAGGCGGCUGGGUAAGUCCGCUCUGAAAGCCCGGGGCUCAACCCCGGGAGGCGGGUGGAUACUGCUCAGCUCGAGUCCGGAAGAGGAGUGUGGAAUGCCUGGUGUAGCGGUGAAAUGCGCAGAUAUCAGGAGGAACACCAAUGGCGAAGGCAGCACUCUGGGACGGUACUGACGCUGAGACGCGAAAGCGUGGGGAGCAAACAGG
rnacentral:rRNA from 1 species